rnacentral:misc_RNA from 1 species
AAAAAAAAAAAAAAAAAAACACAAUAAGCAAGUUGGUUAAUGAAUGCUUCACAAUUAUGUUCGUCCUUGUCAUAUCAACCUGUUACAGUCCAGUUAUUAUUUUAUGUCCAAAAGUCGGGCUUAUUUUUUCAUUAACUGGGACCUGCAUCCGUUGAUCUCUCUGAGUAAAAAUAUUACCCGUCGUGAAAGGUUUGUUUAUUUUUGACAGUGGAAGUAAUUGAAUAACCAUGGUAGUAAAUGUGACGGAAUUGAACAGGCUUCAAACCCAAUGAGACGGAAUUGAACAUGUUUCAUCUACGAAGUCAAUAUCUUCCAACACUUUGCAAAUUAAACAAUAAUAAUUAUUAUUUUAAGACAAACGAUGAAGGUAUUUAAAUAAAUUAUUGGCAGUUGAACGUCUUUAAUUUGAAGUUUCCAUAUAUUUUACAGCCAGUUGUUAUCAUGCGCAACUUACAAUUUUCUUAAAUCAGGUUACAUGCAUAUAUGAGCAAUGUUGUAGUGAAAGGUCUAUUGCAAUAUUCGUAUGUGCCAAAUUGUAGUGUCCUAUGCCAUGCGUUGGGCAUUAUUGUAAGUCGUGGUAUCUUUAUUGUCUGUUAAUGUUCUUGUCAAGGGAGGUGGGGUUGGUUUCACGCCCUUGAGGGAUAUUUGUUGUAUUGUUAGUGGUUGGUAUGCCUGGCAUAGAGUGUACUCUCUCUGUAUGUAGCUUUGUGGUGCUGUAAAUGCACCUACAUUCGGUUGUGACUAUUGGUUCUUGAAGACCUGCUUCUAGGGGUGUUGGAGUCUACUUUUCCUCCUUCAAGUGGUGCUGGAGUCGACUAUUCCUUGGAUGCAAUUGAAAUUACUGGUUUGUGGGAGCAAGUUUUUGUCUGGUGGUUUCUGCUUUCUCAUGGAGAUUGUAGUUGAACAAAAUCUUCAAUGAUGAGGAUGGGUAAAUAAAGUCUGAUUGUUACAACACACGUUUAUACAUGUUCAGUUUUCUAUUGAGCAUCUGACUUGCAUGGACGUACGCAGGAUAAGUCUCUGCUGUUAUUUGUUGAUGAUCUGCGAUGAGAGCAAGUUUUCAAGGCUGGUUUCUGUGAUGUGCUGUAUAACUUAUUGUUGCUGUUGCUGUUGGAUGAAUUUGCGCUGGUGGUUUUUUUUUCAAAAAUUAAGUGGUUCAUAUUUGAUAUGUCUUUUGGCGAAAUGGUCUCAUUCUUUGUACUAGCAUCAGUUUGCUAUCAUUCACCUGUGCAUCUCAGUUGCGGAAACACUUGUAUGGAGCAAUAGCAAUACCGGUUUACGCAUGUUGCUGUACUGAGCUAAUGUUUCAUCUUUAGUGAUCAUACCGUCUUCUGGUAGCUGUGUUGUCUUGUUUCAACUUGGAAUAGACAAAACCUGUGCGGUAUAUGUUGUACAUGGCUUAUUAAAGGAAGUAGUCUGUCAGAUGAUUUUUUCUUUGCAAGAGUUCCUUCUGUUUUUCCUUUUAUGUUGAUUAGAUAUAUGGUGGUUUAACUUGGGUGAAAAAAUGAAUUUGUCCUUAAUGCUAUAAUGUUGCAAUAUUGGAAAAUAAUGUUGUUACUCCCUUUUAUAGUGCAUGCUAUUAAGUAGAGCUGCUUAUUUUUCAGUUCGGUUUUGCAAUUGUUCAUUCUUAAUUUAGAUCUGCAUCAAGCUUGGGAAUCUUAUUAAUAUGCUUUGCUUCUGCUUUACUGAUUCCUGGAGACUUGUGCAAGGUGUCUGAAGUUGUCACACCAUAUAUGAGGUAUGGAUUCUUGAAGUAAUGAUUCUUGAAGAAUUGUUUUUUUCAAUCUUUUGGCCCUUGGAGAGGCGCGGCGCGUUGUAGUUAUUAUUAUUUCAUCCCGUCUCCAAGUGCCUAAGGUGGUUAUCAUUACCACCAUAAUUAUUCCAUCUUGUUUCUAUAUGCCUAAGGUCGUUAUUAUCUCGUGAGAGCUUCUACAUCUCUAGAUAAAAUUGUUACCCUCUACAUUUUUUAAUGAAAGGACGAAGCUAGCUGUACUUUUAGGCUUUGCGUCCGGAGGUGGUGGUCAUUUUCCUUGGCUGGUAAACUAUAGUUUUAGACAUAAGGUGCAGAUGGCUAAUCUUACAUUUUUGUAUUAAGGUCCCUGGUAAGGUACAGGCUGGUUGGCCCCAACAGUGGAUUUGUUCUUCUUUUCUGUUUCUGAUCACAGAGAAUAUUCUUGUUGAGCUCAGCGUGCAUGGUGACGGGAGGUAAAAAUGAUAAAGGAAUUUGUUACGCGUUCAUUCUGCAGGGUGCGUCAGAUCGUGGGCGCAUAUGCAUACGUAGUAAUCUGUUUUUGCUUAAUUAUUUGAAGAUUUGUUAAUGCGGGUAUUAUGUUACUAAUUUAUUGGAAUUGGAUUCCUCUUUUUUUUAUUAAUAUAUUUUUACUUGUUACAUUUAGAUUUAGUAUUUUUUAGGUUUUAUGAAUUUGAAUAUUGAAAGAUAUAUAUAUAUAUAUAUAU